rnacentral:rRNA from 1 species
ACCCGUCAGAGCGGGACAUGCUCCCGGACGGAUAGGACGAUUCUGGAGUGAGCCUGAGAACGGCUACUACAUCUACGGAAGGCAGCAGGCGCGUAAUUACCCAACUGAUAGGGAGGUGGUGACAAGAUAUAACACGCGGUUAUUAUCGCGAUUGUAGUGAGGGUAUUCUAAACAGAACCUAUAGUACGAUUAGAGGGCAAGUCUGGUGCCAGCAGCCGCGGUAAUUCCAGCUCUAAUAGCGUAUAUUAAAGUUGCUGCAGUUAAAAAGCUCGUAGUUGGAUUUCAAGGACUGUAAACCCCCCGGGGAAUACAUGCACUUCUUUCCUACUAGUCUUCGGACUGUUACUGUGAGAAAAUUAGAGUGUUUCAAGCAUGCUUUCGCAAGAUACAUUAGCAUGGAAUAACGAAUGUUUUAGAUCUUGGUUAUCCAGCACACACGACAGAAGGGGGAAAGAUUAAUGCGAGUGAAAUCUCGACCCUGUCUCUCUAUCUAUCUUUUGCGAAGCUGUGCAGGAUGUUUCGUACCCACGCCCACCCCCCGCGGAUCAAAAAAUCAAUUCGGCGAAGCCUAUCUAUAACCAUGCCCACUAGGACUGGAUGGG